rnacentral:rRNA from 1 species
CGCGUAGGUGGUUCUGUAUGUCUAUCGUGAAAGCGUACGGCUCAACCGUAUUUGGUCGGUAGAAACUGCAGGACUUGAGGCUGGGAGGGGCUGGUGGAAUUCCCUGUGUAGCGGUGAAAUGCGUAGGGAUGGGGGAGAACACUCGUGGCGAAGGCGGCCAGCUAGACCAGUUCUGACACUGAGGCGCGACAGCGUGGGGAGCAAACA